UACGGAGGGUGCAAGCGUUAUCCGGAUUCACUGGGUUUAAAGAGUGCGUAGGCGGACAGGUAAGUCAGUGGUGAAAUCUCCGAGCUUAACUCGGAAACUGCCUUUGAUACUCUCUGUCUUGAAUAUGGUGGAGGUAAGCGGAAUAUGUCAUGUAGCGGUGAAAUGCUUAGAGAUGACAUAGAACACCUAAUUGCGAAGGCAGCUUACUACGCCUAUAUUGACGUGAGGCACGAAAGCGGUGGGGAUCAAACAGGA
rnacentral:rRNA from 1 species